rnacentral:rRNA from 1 species
UACAGAGGGUGCAAGCGUUAAUCGGAAUGACUGGGCGUAAAGCGUGUGUAGGUGGUUAGAUAAGUUAGAUGUGAAAUCCCUGGGCUUAACCUGGGAACUGCGUUUAAGACUGUUUAGCUAGAGUACUGUAGAGGAUAGUGGAAUUUCCAGUGUAGCGGUGAAAUUCGUAGAUAUUAGGAAGAACACCGGUGGCGAAGGCGGCCCACUGGCUCGAUACUGACGCUGAGGUGCGAAAGCGUGGGGAGCAAACAGG